UACAAAGUAAAAAAAACUAUCGACUUAAUUAUGAAACUAAUCAAUUAAAUGGAUAAAAUGAUGCAACAGAUUCAACUUAAAUACAAUAAUUGUGACUC